GUGUCAGCCGCCGCGGUAAUACGGAGGGUGCAAGCGUUGUCCGGAAUUAUUGGGUUUAAAGGGUGCGUAGGCGGCUUGUUAAGUCAGAGGUGAAAUCCCACAGCUCAACUGUGGAACUGCCUUUGAUACUGAUAAGCUUGAGUACGGUAAAGGUAGGCGGAAUUUAUGAUGUAGCGGUGAAAUGCAUAGAUAUCAUAAAGAACACCAAUUGCGAAGGCAGCUUACUAGGCCGUAACUGACGCUGAGGCACGAAAGUGUGGGGAGCGAACAGGAUUAGAUACCCUGGUAGUCCACACCGUAAACGAUGAUUACUCGAUGUUGGCGACAUACAGUCAGCGUCCAAGCGAAAGCGUUAAGUAAUCCACCUGGGGAGUACGCUGGCAACAGUGAAACUUAAAUGAAUUGACGGGG
rnacentral:rRNA from 1 species